rnacentral:misc_RNA from 1 species
GUAUUAUCGAAUUAAGUUAAUUCACGAAACACUUGUUCAGACAAACUGGUUAAAAAAAAUUGAUGUGGUUAAGAACUCCCUCCUCUCGCAGUCAAGGAGAGGCGGAGAACUCAAACGGUGCACACAAGGUGGAUAUGGAUUUGUUUAAAAAGCGCCAUAAAACGCUCAUUGUGAAUGAUCCUUCCGCAGGUUCACCUACGGAAA